rnacentral:misc_RNA from 1 species
UUUUUGCGUUAGGGAUAGCAGUGGAUAGCCCACAGGGAGGAACGACCGAGGUUAUCUAACGAAUAGCCCGACCCUUG